GGAAGAUGCAGCAACCCCUGAUGAUCUGAGAUUCACUGCCAACAAAUAAUUUCAAACUGCCCCAUUUGAAGUUCACGACCAUAAUUAAGGAAGUACUAGCACUGCACAUUCAGCAUUUUAUGCAAGGUAUAUUCUUUUCCCUGAUCCUGAAGAAGCCCUGGAUUGACAUUUCACAUGGAAGACAUGCAAUUACAGUGAGGUCUUCCCACAGGACUGCCACGUUGCACAGCUCUAUGGGAAAGCAGUCACACCACACUCGAGGUAAAUGGUGCCUUCAAGAGCAAAAACAAGAAAACAGUACAAACGGUGUCUCCUGCCACAGUGUCACUGUAAUCUCAACAAUUAAUCAUAAUUAGUCUAGAUGACUUUUUUUUUAACACUUAUGAUCCUGAUUGAAAGUAAGUAUAAAAAUCACAAAGGAAAAUUCUAACUUUAAGAACAUAUAUAACCAAGCAGUUCUUUCCAAUGCCUAAGGCACUUCAUUUAUAACACCUCAGUCUCUUCCCACAACAUGCCUUCUACUUUACCAAAAUCUAAAUCCCUGGAGAGAAAAGAGUUGAAAAGUGAGAGGAGGAACUGGACAUCAGAAACAUGCAAACUCAAAACUGCCAAAAGACUUGUAGAUUCAGUAAGUUAGGUAUGUAGUAUGUGAUUUUACUGAUAGGCAUCAAUUAACAACUCUCCCAUUCAUACGGUGCCUUUUUAACAUGAAAAAUUAAGCAGCUGAUAACAUAUUAGACUAUAUACAUCUCUCAUGAAAUAGCUAAUGUUAACCCAUGACAUAAAUAUAAGAAACCAUCCUCUCUUUUACUGAGUAAUGUGUUUGCACAGUUCAAAAACCAAAACUACACAGAAAGACAUAGAUUAAAGUUUUGCUCCCACUCCUGUCUCAAUUCCCAUUCCCUCAUACCCUUUAUGACAACCAUUUCUUGUUGGAUUCUUGUUUUCCUUCCUAGUGUAUUUGCAAAAAUACCAGUAAAUACAAAUACACAUUCUUAUCCCCUUAAAGAAAAGGCACUGUAUAGCACCCUUUGUCCCUCACUUUGCCUUUUUUAAUCAAUUUACCCUAGAGAUCUGUUCACAUCAGUACAAAGAGAUCUUCCUCAUUCUUUUUUUAUAGCUGUAAUACCUCACUCUGUGGAUAUACCAUAAUUUAUUCAACCAGACCUUAUCAGGUUGCUUUCAAAGCGUCUUCCUAAAUGAUACAUCUUUCAAAUCUCUCCUGUUACUGUAACAAAGUGAAUUAUCAGUAUCACAGGAUUUGCUUUCUUAGAUCUGUAAUAAGACAGAUGAGUGACCUACUUACUGUUCAUAUUUUGUAAGAAUCAUCAGAAAUUUCCAUUUUACAUGACUAUAUUCUCUCCCCCAACAAAGUUUAAUGUAUUUAUUAGAGGAUUUCUCAGAGCCUUUAGCACAUCAUUAUGCAUUAUGAAUCUCUGAAAAGUAUAGUGUGUGACAUUUCCCAAACUUACUUGGCAAAACCUUCUACAGAUGAAAUGUUCCACAAAACAAACUCUAGCAAAUACUGGGGCUGAUAUAAUAAUUAUUGUCAUCUAUUUAAGCAAAAUAUAAGACUUCUAAGAACUUUUAAGGAAACCAACUGAGCUCAAUUUUAGACUAGGCAUUCCUUCACUCUUUUUGGAUUAUAAACACCUCAGAGAUCUGAAUGUAAAGCUAUUUGAUUCUCUCCUGGAAAGAAUGCAUACAAGCAUAAAAUUUUCCGUUUCUGGGGAUUCAUGGACCACAGUCCCCAUGGUCUUAUCUAUUUGAGAAGCAAUGAAUAGAAGUGCUAUAUUAUCUGUGGCACCAUUAAUACUACAAAUGUUAGGACAGAACCCAGAGCUAAUGAAAAAGCAGCAGAGAAUUCACCAUGAAGUGUGUACCUUGGUGCAAAGCAAACAAAGCACAUUCAAAGAUAUUAUGUUAAACAGUUAACGAUAUCAAAUAAAGUAAAUUCUACUAAAUAAUUGUGAGAAUUGUUACAAGGGGUUGAGUCUGAUUUUUACACAGAUGUCUCUCAUCUUAAGUAAAUUAGAUUCUUACAGGAUUAAAAAAGUUGGUCUUUAAUUCAUUUUGUAUGAAUAUGAUCAUAAC